rnacentral:lncRNA from 1 species
CUCUUGUUGAGAGUUGUCUCAUUUGCAAUCAUACCACAUCUUCAUUUCUAUAUACACAUGGUUUGAAGGCCAGUGAUGUAUGAAUACGUAGAUCUAUGCGCGGUAGAAAGAGUCAUAAUUAUGAUCUUUAUAUGUUUUAUUAAAAAUAUCAAUUAAUAAGAUAUGUAGAUAUGAUAAUGCUGUAUUCGAUUCACCGGUCAUAUUGAAAAAUAAUGCCAUUUUCAGAAUUCUUAAAUGUAAACAUUGAACAAUUAUGAGUAAAGCUAUUUGAUAUAGUCAUGUAAAACAAUAAAUAACUAACAGAAAAGUGUCAACCUCACGAAUUGCAGUGUACAAAUACGUAUAUCGUCAUAAUGAGAAAAAUCUUCUUUUUUACACAACCGUUAUACAUCAAAUAUUUCAUGCAGUCGACAUGUCCCAGAUUUUCCAAUUUCAAUAUUUCCUGUUCUUCUUCGAUAUCUUUAUCGAUGAUGAUGCAUGCAAUUAGAUUUGAAUGAAUUUUAUAGGAUCAUUUGUUUGUUUUAUAUUCCAAAUUUACACAAACAUUCUGCAUUCUUAAACUAGAGGCUCUCAAGAACCUGUAUCGCUCACCUGACUCUACUUUGGUUUUGGAAAUCAUAUAAAAAAGAUAAAAUUUGGCUACAAAUUAACAACACUUGGCCAGCACCUGAUUAGGAAAGGAGCAUUCAUGCUAUGUUUCGUUUCAUUCCAUUCAGUGGUUCUCUAAAAAAAGACCUUUGCAUGUAUUUCCAAUAGGGUCCUAUGCUAAACCAAGUCCCCCGCUGGCAGCCAUCUUGGAUGAUGGAUCGGCUACAAAGUAACAACACUUGGGCAGCACCUCAUAAGGAGCAUUCAUGCUAUGUUUGGUUUAAUUCCAUUCAGUGGUUCUCUAAAAGAAGUCAUUUGUAUGCAUUUCCCGUAGGGUCCUAUGUUAAACCAAGUUACCCCACUGGCGGCCAUCUUGGAUGUUGGAUCGGCUACAAAGUAACAACACUUGGUCAGCAUCUAAUAAGGAUCAUUCAUGCUAUGUUUGAUUUCAUUCCUUUCAGUGGUUCUCUAAAAGAAGUCAUUUGUGUGCAUUUCCCAUUGGGUCCUAUGUUAAACUAAAUCUCUUGCUGGCCAUCUUGGAUGAUGGAUCGGCUACAAAGUAACAAAACUUGGUCACCACCUCAUAAGGAACAUUCAUAUUAUGUUUGGUUUCAUUCUAUUCAGUGGUUCUCUAAAAGAAGUCAAUUGUAUGCAUUUCCCAUAGGGUCCUAUGUUAAACUAAGUCCCCCGCUG